rnacentral:rRNA from 1 species
CCUACGGGAGGCAGCAGUGGGGAAUAUUGGACAAUGGCGGGAACCCUGAUCCAGCGACGCCGCGUGAGUGUAGAAGUCCUUCGGUAUGUAAAGCUCUAUCAGCCGGGAACAAAGAUAUGACGGUAUCUCACUACGAAGCUCCGGCUAACUUCGUGCCCGCAUCGGCGGUAACACGCAGGGGGCAAGCGUUAUCCGGAUCUACUGGGUGCAAAGGGAGCGUCGACGGCGGGGAACGUCUGAGGUGAAAGGCGGGGGCCCAACGCUCGAAGUGCUUUGGAGACUGUAUGGCUGGAGUGCGGGUGAGGUAAGAGGAAUUCCUGGUGUAGCGGUGAAAUGCGUAGAUAUUAGACGGAACACCAGUGGCGAAGGCGGCUUACGGAACUGUGACUGACGUUGAGGCUCGAAAGCGUGGGGAGCAAACAGGAUUAGAUACCCGAGUAGUC